GCCGGAGGAUGCAAGCGUUAUCCGGAAUGAUUGGGCGUAAAGCGUCCGCAGGUGGCAGUUCAAGUCUGCUGUCAAAGACCGGGGCUUAACUUCGGAAAGGCAGUGGAAACUGAACAGCUAGAGUAUGGUAGGGGCAGAGGGAAUUCCUGGUGUAGCGGUGAAAUGCGUAGAGAUCAGGAAGAACAUCGGUGGCGAAAGCGGCUCACUGGACCAUUACUGACGCUGAGGCACGAAAGCUAGGGGAGCAAACAGG
rnacentral:rRNA from 1 species